GAUGAACGCUAGCGGGAGGCUUAAUACAUGCAAGUCGAGCGGUAAGGUUUUCGGACCCUAGAGCGGCGAACGGGUGAGUAACGCGUACGAAACCUGCCUUUAAGAGAGGGAUAGCCCUGGGAAACUGGGAGUAAUACCUCAUAGUAUUCAUUAACCGCAUGGUUUAUGGAUUAAAGCUACGGCGCUUAAAGAUGGUCGUGCGUCUGAUUAGCUAGUUGGUAGGGUAACGGCCUACCAAGGCUACGAUCAGUAGGGGGCGUGAGAGCGUGGCCCCCCACACGGGUACUGAGACACGGACCCGACUCCUACGGGAGGCAGCAGUAAGGAAUAUUGGACAAUGGUCGAAAGACUGAUCCAGCCAUCCCGCGUGCAGGAUGACUGCCCUAUGGGUUGUAAACUGCUUUUAUAUGGGAAGAAUAGCAUAGAUUCAUCUGUGUAUGACGGUACCAUAUGAAUAAGCACCGGCUAACUCCGUG
rnacentral:rRNA from 1 species